AUCAUUUAGAGGAAGGAGAAGUCGUAACAAGGUUUCCGUAGGUGACCUGCGGAGGAUCAUUGUCGAAACCUGCCCAGCAGAGCGACCCGCGAACAAGUCUUUCACUACUGCGGAGGGGGGCCUUGCGCCCUCCGACGCCGGCCUGGGGGGACUCGCGCCCCCUUCGGCCAAGAACAACACAUCCCGGCGCGGCGAGCGCCAAGGAAAACAAAACAAAGGAGUUCUCUCUCCGUCCGUCGGGCGGGGAGGGAUCUCCAGCGAAAUAAAACCAAAACGACUCUCGGCAACGGAUAUCUCGGCUCUCGCAUCGAUGAAGAACGUAGCGAAAUGCGAUACUUGGUGUGAAUUGCAGAAUCCCGUGAACCAUCGAGUCUUUGAACGCAAGUUGCGCCCGACGCCUUCGGGCCGAGGGCACGUCUGCCUGGGUGUCACGCAACGUCGCCCCUCCCACCCGCGGUGCGGAUGGGGCGGAGAAUGGCCUCCCGUCGGCCCCGUCCCUCGGUUGGCCCAAACAGGAGUCCCCGGCGACGAGAGCCGCGGCAUUCGGUGGUUGAGAGACCCUUCGAUGCGGCUGUGCGCCCUCGUCCGUCCGUAUUGUACUCGACGGCCCUGAAUUUACAACUGACGCGACCCCAGGUCAGGCGG
rnacentral:misc_RNA from 1 species